rnacentral:misc_RNA from 1 species
AACUGAUACUACCUGCGGGAACCUGCGGAGGGAUCAUUAUUGAAUAAACUUGGUGGGUUGUCGCUGGCUCCUUGGAGCAUGUGCACGCCUUCCAACUUUUAUCUAUUCCACCUGUGCACCCUUUGUAGUCUCGGGAAUUGAAAGCGGCUUACACCUCGAAUGGCUUCUCUCGCCUUUCGGAUGUGAGGAAUGCAUGCUAUCAUGGCUUCCUCAGUCAGGUUGUGAUCACUUUCGAGAUUA